GGCAACCCGCUGGGAUCCCCUUCUACAUUGUAGAAGCUUUGUUCUUUAGCUCUUUGCGACAAAUCUUGCUACUGCUCACUCUUUGGGUCCACGCUGCUUUUAUGAGCUGUAACACUCACCUCGAAGGUCUGCAGCUUCACUCCUGAAGCCAGCGAGACCACGAGCCCACUGGGAGGGACAAACAACUCCAGACACGCUGCUUUAAGAGCUAUAACACUCACCGCGAAGGUCUGCAGCUUCACUCCUGAGCCAGCGAGACCACGAUCCCACCAGAAGGAAGAAACUCUGAACACAUCCGAACAUCAGAAGGAACAAACUCCAGACACGCUACCUUAAAAGCUGUAACACUCACCGCCGAGGGUCGGCGGCUUCAUUCUUGAAGUCAGUGGGACCAAGAACCCACCAACUCCGGACACAUAGCUCACUGACUGACAGGCAGCCACUCUCCAAAGAGUCCCUGAACCAUGGUCUUGAGCUCUCAGUGCCAGAGACGGUGAAUAAUGCCCAGUGGGAUGCUCCAGAGGAGGCGCUGUGGACGACUCGGGCCGAUGGGCGAGUGCGCCUGCGCAUAGACCCCAGCUGCCCACAGCUUCCCUACAC
rnacentral:sRNA from 1 species